rnacentral:rRNA from 1 species
UACGUAGGGUGCGCGCGUUAAUCGGAAUUACUGGGCGUAAAGCGCGCGUAGGCGGCUUUGCAAGUCGGGUGUGAAAUCCCCAGGCUUAACCUGGGAACUGCAUUCGAGACUGCAUUGCUAGAGUAUGGGAGAGGGAAGUGGAAUUUCCGGUGUAGCGGUGAAAUGCGUAGAUAUCGGAAGGAACAUCAGUGGCGAAAGCGACUUCCUGGACCAAUACUGACGCUCAUGUGCGAAAGCGUGGGGAGCAAACAGG